GAGGAAAGAUGGGGUGUAGGGACGGCCGGAGCGCGAGCCCCGCGACUGAGCUGGGGUUGAGGAAAGCCAGGCGCCGCGAGGGCGAGAUGAGGCGGGGCGGGGGGACAGGAACUCGGAGCUGAGGCCUGGAGAGCGGCCCGGGAGCCAGCUGUGGGGAAACAGGCAGGACUGCAGCAGGAGCCGGCUGAAGGGGACAGAGUAAAGGGACUUUUUUUAUUUACUUAAUUUGUAUCAACGGUCAAAUUAGGCAAAACUAAUUCCAAACCCAAGUGACCAGAACUAUAAGUGGCCCUAUUAGGCAAACAUCCCCCACCUGCAUCUGGGGCUUAGGAUGUUUCUAAAAUCUUUGGCAGGCAUCCUACUUGCAGGCCUAAGACUGGAAACUUAGGGUUUAGAUGCCCCUAAGUUUUGCUUGCCCUUAGCUAUAAAGCCCUCGAAGCAAGCAAAGGGCCCCAUUUCCAUAAACUGGGUUUAAAGCUGCUGCACCUCAGCAGGUACUGAACCAUACCAGAAGAGCAGUUGUCCCAGGGUGUGCUUCACGAAACCUGCCUUUUUGGACACAGAUGCAUGGUUCUUCCCCUGCUAGGUUAAGAAGCCACUACACUUGUCCUGAGCCUUCAAAGAGGGACUUGGUCUUCUGCGUGACACGGCAGAAAAGCAUAGCCUGCAGCAGAGGGGAGCAAUCUGCAAAACUCCCUAGCUUUGUACAUACCCCUCCCUCCAGCCCAGGAGGCAGCCACCUCAUCAUAUCAGGCUUUAACUCUACUGAGAUCAUCCAGAUAUCAAUAGGAGGCCAGUAAUGGCCUUUGUUUCCUUCCAUUUCCCUUUCCUAAAAUCCUAGAACUUUACACACAGUGUUGAUGUGACACUGAGCAUUAUUCAGACUGUAAAAUCAAGCACUGAAGUUAGGAAACAGCAGAAUUAAGGCAGAAUUAUGCCUUAAUCUCUGUGCUUAAAUUUCCAGCUGUAAAAUGCAGCUAAUAGGAUGCAAAUAAUAAAUGCAGCACAGAGGGUGUUGUGAUUUUCAGAAGCCCUCAGAUACUGUGGAAACAGAACUAGAAGAGAUCCCCACAUCCAAUCCUGUCAGUGACCUACUAAUACGCGUGUUGUUGACAUCAUGUUGCAUAAUCUGGCUCAUAAAUUUAGCAAGUGUUUGUUUAAAAUAGUUGUUCUGUUCCCUCUGCUAAUAUUAAGAAGCUGUUCUUGAACCUUACUCUUCUUUUGAUUGACAGGAUGGAGUUAUUAAUGUCUAGUUUAUAUCUUGUUCUUGUGUUAAUCUUUUAAGAUUAAACAGCUAUUUUCUCUCCCUAGUGUUUGCCCCCUGCCCUUCCCAAGCCCAUAGAGAGAGCCAUUAUAUUCCUCCCCAGCAUAGGCGACUCGGGGUCAGGGGAUAUACCCUCCCCUGAGAUUGGCCAAUGACAACAACGACACUGAUUUCUGGGGGCAGUCACCACUCACCACCCCCACUCACCACUACUACCACCUGCAGGCAGUCGCUGCUGGCCGAUACCAGCACCUUAAGUAUUAAUAAUGCCCAGUGUCCGGCAUGCUGAUUUUUCUCCCAUUUCAUUGCUAGAGUUCUUCAAAGUUUCAGCAUCCGAGUCAAGAAGUCAACAGGGCAGCCAGUUGGCAGCAGGAGAAGGAACAAGCCCAAGCAGGCAGAGACAUUUAUCCCAGUAGAAGUGGGAGCAAGUAGUGAGGGUGAAGUAGAUGACGACUUUAAAUUUUAAUGAAGAUCAGAACCAGCAGCCCAGGGACUAAGAAGCUGAGCAUUACUUCUCAUCUGUGAGAAAACUUAUCUGAGAUGCCACCUACUAUGAAAAAACUAUUAAUCUGUUAUAACACAAGCAUCCCCUCAUCUGCCCAUGUAAAGCAAUUGUUCAGUA